AUGUUUGCACGGUUAGGCGUGCGGUCGGGCGCUUCGUCGGCAUGAAAAUAGCCUGGGGGUGGGGUUUAGGGGGUUAGGGAUGGGCUGAUUUUAGCUUCGAAGGUGGUUUGCGGGCCUCGGGGGGAGCACUUCGUCGGGCCUAGCUUAACGCCAGCAGAGCUAGUAGGCGAGCUAAGCUGCGGCGGCCUGCUAAACCCGCGCCUUAGGCCUCCCCCCAUAGACACGCGCGCCCGCCUCCGCUAGCUCCCCUCGUCGGUACUCGCUCCACAAGCUCCCGAUGCUCGCGGUCAUGACGCUCCUUAGGCGGAGGGAGAGGGCGUUUACGUGGCGGCGGAGGCGAGAGCUACCUCUCUUCUUCUUCGUCUCCGAGAGGCUCUAGGUCAGGCCGCACGUCCUUCGACUUAGCGACUAAGCCUCCUACCUGGACCUCCGAUCCUUAUGCGGCGGCUCGCACUUUCGCCCAAACGAUCGAUUCGACGCCCUCAUGUUUAGACUGGAAUUGUUGGAGUUCUCGCUCGAGUUCUCCUAGAGCCGCGGGUUACGGUCCGUUUGAUGUUUCCUCCUCGAGGAACUUAGACCGUACCGACUGUGUGAACGCCACAGGUGACUAGUCGCUCCUUCCAACUACUACUGUUGACUUUCUGACUUAGUCAGGUGACUGUCUUAAUUUCUCUCGGCUUCUUGAUACGACCUCUGUCUUCUUGAACCACACAGCUAAGAAGUCCUGGAAGUAGUUGUUGCCGUCAGUGAUGACGUACGAGUGCUAUGAAACGUACCCCAACUACUAUUACAACCUUUCUCGUUCUUUUAGGACAGCCGUUACAGUUUCUCCUACCUGUCCUUGUUCACCUAGUAACCACCUUAGUAAAGUCGAGAACAACACCGGUAGGAAUAGUAUGAGAUGAAAUUCGAGCGAGUGACUCGGUCGGUCCAUCCAGGAGGUUUAACAUACACAAGUCAUUUUAACACACUAUUCCAACAGACUUGCGACAUGUAACCUGCUGUGGGUGGCUAACAGGGAGCCUUCAAGUAACCAAGGGGUUUGUACAAAUAUUUAUAAACUACUCACCAAGUAACCGUACAGUACAUAUCGUUGGUGAGCACAGUCCUCCAGUCAACACGGGCUGGUAUAAUACUACAUUUUGACAACUCUUUUUGUUUUCACCUUUUCUUCUACUGGACACAACUAUAUGAUGG
rnacentral:rRNA from 1 species